UUUGUAACUUUAUGGAGCACAAUGAUUCCUUUAUAAUUUACAAAUCUGUCUCAGACAUUCACUAAGAUCGACUUCAAUAACUGAAUCCCCUUUACUUCAAGAAAUGAGAACUAACUCCUAUACCUCAAAAGCUAAUUAACUCAAAAUAAGACGAUAGUUAUUGAUAUAUUUGAUUAGUUGUUGAGUCUACUAGACAUUUACCACUCAUAAGCAUUCGCUAUUUAUCAUGAGAAAUGGAAAC
rnacentral:lncRNA from 1 species